rnacentral:rRNA from 1 species
UACAGAGGGUGCGAGCGUUGUCCGGAAUCACUGGGCGUAAAGGGCGCGUAGGUGGCGACCCAAGUCGAUGGUGAAAGCUCGCCGCUCAACGGCGAGUCGGCCACCGAUACUGGGUUGCUGGAGCACUGUAGAGGCAGAUGGAAUUCCGGGUGUAGCGGUGGAAUGCGUAGAGAUCCGGAAGAACACCGGUGGCGAAGGCGGUCUGCUGGGCAGUUGCUGACACUGAGGCGCGACAGCGUGGGGAGCAAACAGG